AGUGCUGUAGCUCAGUGACAGUGUACUUGCCUUGAAAUCAUAAGGCUCUGGGUUCAAUCCCCAGCACUGCCA
rnacentral:tRNA from 1 species